rnacentral:lncRNA from 1 species
GUUCUCUGAACCUGUUAAUGGGAAAACUAUUACUCUGUGAUUUCUAAAUGAAUUUUGAGUCUGUCUUUUAAAAUAGCCAGCACACCAAGGUCUUUACUCUCUGCCAGUUUAGUUGCAGAAAUAUAAUGAUUUCUUAAUGCAAUCGCAUAAAACACGCUACUUAAGGAAAACUUAAUAGCUGAAUAUGACUGUGAAGAAGAUAUUUUUCUGCCUAAGACUAACUUCCCUUUCAUUGUUUCCUUUUGAUGAAUUAUUGAGUAAACAUCGAGCUGACUUAAAUAUUCUCCUGCUUUAAGCUGCUUACCUUCAAAAUCUACUUCUGGAACUGUGCUCUGUCACCAGAUAACUUAAGCCUGGCAGGAAAAUAGCUAUGCCCAUUCCUGAGUCCUUUAGUUGUGACGAUAUCUGGAGAGAGAAAAGGGACCAUCUCUUCCCGGGCCUCUUUUCUAAGAAUAAGGAAACUUCUUCCAUAACUCCUCCAGCAGACUUCACUUUGCACCUUAUUGGCCAGAAGUGUGUUACGUGACAAUUCUUCAACCAAGAAGGGGAACGGAUUAGCUUGACAGGCUGCAGACUACCCUUCGAACUGAGCAUGAAGUCAUCUUCCUCCAAGUCAUGUGUGAGGACGUGAAGGAAGUGAGAUAUCUGAACACAAAGGAAGGAAGAAGGGAGAAUGAGCAUUGGAUAGACAAUCAGUUGAGCACUUGGAGCUGCUUUGUGCGAGCUUGUGAGAGUCAACUGUUAGACUCAGGAAUUUUGAAUGCUGGCAGUUAAACACAGCCAUUAUCAAAAAUUAAGUUAUAUAAUCUUACAGUUAAAAUAUGUUAAAGCAAAAGUAAUAAAUACUCAAAAGUGAUCAAUCUCUAAUUAUUUUUACUACAUCAUUCUAUUAUCUAUGCUUUUGAUGUUUUGUAUCUGUGUGGG